rnacentral:rRNA from 1 species
UACGAAGGGGGCUAGCGUUGCUCGGAAUCACUGGGCGUAAAGGGUGCGUAGGCGGGUCUUUAAGUCAGGGGUGAAAUCCUGGAGCUCAACUCCAGAACUGCCUUUGAUACUGAAGAUCUUGAGUUCGGGAGAGGUGAGUGGAACUGCGAGUGUAGAGGUGAAAUUCGUAGAUAUUCGCAAGAACACCAGUGGCGAAGGCGGCUCACUGGCCCGUUACUGACGCUGAGGCACGAAAGCGUGGGGAGCGAACGGG